rnacentral:lncRNA from 1 species
UAGACAUGAAGGAGAAAGAAAAGGAUAAGGGAGAAGAAAGAAAGGACAGAGAGAAAAAAAUGAACAAUCAGAGUAAAGGCAGCAAGCAUUCUCUAACUCCUGACCGCGAGUGAUCCUCCUGCCUCAACCUCCCAAAGGGCUGGGACUACAGGCGUGAGCCACUGCGCAGGGCCUCAACCAGCGUUCUCUAGAGCGGUGGAUCCCAAAUGCCAUCUGAGGACCAGCAACAGCAGCAGCAUCCGGUUAAUGGAGUCAUGGUGACACUGAAAAUUCUUCCUGUGUUGGCAUCUGACAGAGGAUUUGAAACCGAAUGCUGAACUCAUGUUAGGAAAGUGAAGCAGCAGGUUCUCUGGAGAGAGAUGGUCUCUGCAUAGCAGAAAUGGAGUUCCCCCAAGUGAAGCGAGUCUGGCCGCUGGGGCGCUGGCUUCCUCACUGAGACACCAGAGAGGGAGCCUUCUUCCACAUUGUCAUCUGAAGAUUUCUCAUCAUUAGACUCUCUCAGCGCACCCAGAAUGGGACAUGGUGGGUCUGCAGAAAAGGAAACAGUGUUUCCAGAUCCUUCUAGACACACGCUUAGUGCAUUAAAGGAAAAUCAUUCGCAGUCUAAAUGGGUU